AAUCAACGCUGGCGGCGUGCCUCAGACAUGCAAGUCGAACGCGGAAGUCCCCUUCGGGGGACGAAGUAGAGUGGCGCACGGGUGAGUAACACGUAGGUAAUCUACCUUUGGAUGGGGAAUAACAACCGGAAACGGUUGCUAAUACCGCAUAAUGCAGCGGCACCUAAUGGUGACAGUUGUUAAAGCGGGGGAUCGAAAGACCUCGCGUCUAAAGAGGAGCCUGCGGCGGAUUAGCUAGUUGGAAGGUAAUGGCUUACCAAGGCUACGAUCUGUAUCCGGUCUAAGAGGACGGUCGGACACACUGACACUGAAUAACGGGUCAGACUCCUACGGGAGGCANCAGUCGGGAAUUUUGGGCAAUGGGCGAAAGCCUGACCCAGCAACGCCGCGUGAAGGAUGAAGUAUUUCGGUAUGUAAACUUCGAAAGAAUGGGAAGAAUCAAUGACGGUACCAUUUAUAAGCUCCGGCUAACUACGUGCCAGCAGCCGC
rnacentral:rRNA from 1 species